GAUGAACGCUGGCGGCGUGCCUAAUACAUGCAAGUCGAGCGAACAGACGAGGAGCUUGCUCCUCUGACGUUAGCGGCGGACGGGUGAGUAACACGUGGAUAACCUACCUAUAAGACUGGGAUAACUUCGGGAAACCGGAGCUAAUACCGGAUAAUAUAUUGAACCGCAUGGUUCAAUAGUGAAAGACGGUUUUGCUGUCACUUAUAGAUGGAUCCGCGCCGCAUUAGCUAGUUGGUAAGGUAACGGCUUACCAAGGCGACGACGCGUAGCCGACCUGAGAGGGUGAUCGACCACACUGGAACUGAGACACGGUCCAGACUCCUACGGGAGGCAGCAGUAGAGAAUCUUCCGCAAUGGGCGAAAGCCUGACGGAGCAACGCCGCGUGAGUGAUGAAGGUCUUCGGAUCGUAAAACUCUGUUAUUAGGGAAGAACAAAUGUGUAAGUAACUAUGCACGUCUUGACGGUACCUAAUCAGAAAGCCACGGCUAACUACGUG
rnacentral:rRNA from 1 species